AUGCAUCGUGAUUCCUGUCCAUUGGACUGUAAAGUUUAUGUAGGUAAUCUUGGAAACAAUGGUAACAAGACUGAAUUGGAACGAGCUUUUGGCUAUUAUGGACCACUCCGAAGUGUGUGGGUUGCUAGAAACCCUCCCGGCUUUGCUUUUGUUGAAUUUGAAGAUCCCCGAGACGCAGCUGAUGCUGUCCGAGAGCUAGAUGGGAGAACACUCUGUGGCUGCCGAGUAAGAGUGGAACUAUCGAAUGGUGAAAAGAGAAGUCGUAAUCGUGGCCCACCUCCUUCUUGGGGUCGUCGCCCUCGAGAUGAUUAUCGGAGGAGGAGUCCUCCACCUCGACGCAGAUCUCCAAGACGGAGAAGCUUCUCCCGCAGCCGGAGCAGGUCCCUUUCUAGCGAUAGGAGAAGAGAGAGAUCACUGUCCCGGGAGAGAAAUCACAAGCCGUCCCGAUCUUUCUCUAGGUCUCGUAGCCGAUCUAGGUCAAAUGAAAGGAAAUAG
rnacentral:lncRNA from 1 species